rnacentral:tRNA from 1 species
GUGCCUAUGGUGUAACGGUUAGCACUGCAGCUUGUGGAGCUGUAAGUUCCGGUUCGAAUCCGGAUAGGCACC